rnacentral:rRNA from 1 species
AUUGAACGCUGGCGGAAUGCUUUACACAUGCAAGUCGAACGAUAGAGGGGGCAACCCCUCGAGAGUGGCGAACGGGUGAGUAAUAUAUCGGAACGUGCCCAGUCGUGGGGAUAACGUAGCGAAAGUUACGCUAACACCGCAUACGAUCUAAGGAUGAAAGCGGGGGAUCGCAAGACCUCGCGCGAUUGGAGCGGCCGAUAUAAGAUUAGGUAGUUGGGGGGGUAAAGGCUCACCAAGCCAACGAUCUGUAGCUGGUCUGAGAGGACGACCAGCCACACUGGAACUGAGACACGGUCCAGACUCCUACGGGAGGCAGCAGUGGGGAAUUUUGGACAAUGGACGCAAGUCUGAUCCAGCCAUUCCGCGUGCAGGAUGAAGGCCCUCGGGUUGUAAACUGCUUUUGUACGGAACGAAAAGGUCUCUCUUAAUACGGGGGGCUCAUGACGGUACCGUAAGAAUAAGCACCGGCUAACUACGUGCCAGCCGCCGCCGUAA